rnacentral:rRNA from 1 species
UACGGAGGGUGCGAGCGUUGUUCGGAAUCUGGCGUAAGCGCGGGCGAGGUGGUCCGUUAAGUCUUUUGUGAAACUCCGGGGCUCAACCCCGGACAUGCAGAGGAUACUGGCGGACUGGAGAUCGGUAGAGGCUAACGGAAUUCCUGGUGUAGCGGUGGAAUGCGUAGAUAUCAGGAAGAACACCGGUGGCGAAGGCGGUUAGCUGGGCCGAGUCUGACACUCGAUCCGCGAAAGCGUGGGAGCAAACAGGAUUAGAUACCCCCGUAGUCC